rnacentral:lncRNA from 1 species
GCGGGGUUUCACCAUGUUGGCCAGGCUGGUCUAGAACUCCUGAUCUCAAGAGAUCCACCCACCUCGGCCUCCCAAAGUGCUGGGAUUACCUGCAUGAGCCACUGCACCUGGCUUCAGCCCUUUGUUUUAUCCAAGAGAAGGUCAAGAGCAGAUAAAUUGGAUCUGUGCCCGCAGAGAGAGCCUGCUCCAGCCUCUUUGCUACAGCCUUGAGUCUUCUGCUGAAGCUGUGGAGACUACCAAAUGGACUCGUCUAGAUUUCACAUGCAACGUGGCUCUGCCUUCCCUGAGCACUCUGGGCCUUUCCAUGGAGACAGAAUGAAUAGAUAAUG